rnacentral:misc_RNA from 1 species
AACACUGUUAACCUGCGGUACCUGCGGAAGGAUCAUUACCGAGUUUACAAACUCCCAACCCUAUGUGAACCUUACCAAUCGUUGCUUCGGCGGGCUUAGCCCCCGCGCCCUCGCCGGCGCCGGGAGAAAGGCGCCCGCCGGGGACCCAAACCCAAUGUUUUUCAUGCAGUAUUUCUGAGUGGCAAACGCAAAAAUAAAUCAAAACUUUUAACAACGGAUCU